UACGGAGGGGGCUAGCGUUGUUCGGAUUUACUGGGCGUAAAGCGCACGUAGGCGGAUCGUUAAGUCGGGGGUGAAAUCCUGGAGCUCAACUCCAGAACUGCCUUCGAUACUGGCGAUCUUGAGUCCGGAAGAGGUGAGUGGAACUCCUAGUGUAGAGGUGGAAUUCGUAGAGAUUAGGAAGAACACCAGUGGCGAAGGCGGCUCACUGGUCCGGUACUGACGCUGAGGUGCGAAAGCGUGGGGAGCAAACAGG
rnacentral:rRNA from 1 species